rnacentral:rRNA from 1 species
AGAGUUUGAUCMUGGCUCAGAACGAACGCUGGCGGCGUGCUUAACACAUGCAAAGUCGAACGCGAAAAGGGACUUCGGUCCCGAGUAGAGUGGCGCACGGGUGAGUAACGCGUAAGUAAUCUACCCCUGUAUCUGGAAUAACCCACCGAAAGGUGAGCUAAUACCGGAUACGUUUAUCUUGAUGCGAAUGAUGAUAAAGAAAGGUGGCCUCUUCAUGAAAGCUACUGUACAGGGACGAGCUUGCGUACCAUUAGCUAGUUGGUAGGGUAAUGGCCUACCAAGGCGACGAUGGUUAGCGGGUCUGAGAGGAUGAUCCGCCACACUGGAACUGGAACACGGACCAGACUCCUACGGGAGGCAGCAGUGAGGAAUAUUGCGCAAUGGGGGCAACCCUGACGCAGCGACGCCGCGUGGAUGAUGAAGGCCCUUGGGUCGUAAAAUCCUGUCAGAUGGAAAGAAAUGUACAGGUGUUAAUAUCGCCUGUAUUUGACGGUACCAUCAAAGGAAGCACCGGCUAACUCCGUGCCAGCMGCCGCGGUAAUA